rnacentral:rRNA from 1 species
UACGUAGGGGGCUAGCGUUGUCCGGAAUCAUUGGGCGUAAAGCGCGUGUAGGCGGUCCGGUAAGUCCGCUGUGAAAGUCGGGGGCUCAACCCUCGGAUGCCGGUGGAUACUGUCGGGCUUGAGUACGGAAGAGGCGAGUGGAAUUCCUGGUGUAGCGGUGAAAUGCGCAGAUAUCAGGAGGAACACCAAUUGCGAAAGCAGCUCUCUGGGACGGUACUGACGCUGAGACGCGAAAGCGUGGGGAGCGAACAGG